UUAACCCUUUAAGAUGUUCUUAGGAUCAAGAGGCGGUGUAUCGAGUUGAUAAAGAUUAAACGCCGGUCCAACAAACCGGAAAAAAAUCCAACCUCCAAUGACAAUGUAUAUCGACGCGUAAGCCAAUUUGUUUAGCCAAAACAACAAACCUUUCUCUCCAACAUAAAGCUCCAAUGCCUUCUCAUUCAAUGUCAUCUCUUCCCAUGGCUUUUGAACAGUCUCUUUUUUCUUCCCGCUUUGUCCUCCUCCUUCUCCUGAACCCUCUUCCCUCAUUUUCCUUCUGGAUCCUCUUUUGAAUCUUAUCUCCACUCCAUCCAACGGCUGAGUAAUCUUCUCUUCAUCACCGCCACUGUUUACGCAGUUUAUCGAUAGAGUUCUUCUGUUGCUACGAUGCAACUGGAACUUGGUUUUUGUAUAAGAUUGUUGCUUCAGAUUGAUAAUCGUUGAAUUGGGAGCUAAAAAGUGGAGACUUUUCAUUUUUGUUGUUGUUUUUAAGAUUUUGAAG